UACGUAGGGGGCAAGCGUUGUCCGGAAUCAUUGGGCGUAAAGCGCACGUAGGCGGCUUCUUAAGUCGGUGGUGAAAUCCUGGAGCUCAACUCCAGAACUGCCUUCGAUACUGGGAAGCUCGAGUCCGGGAGAGGUGAGUGGAACUGCGAGUGUAGAGGUGAAAUUCGUAGAUAUUCGCAAGAACACCAGUGGCGAAGGCGGCUCACUGGCCCGGUACUGACGCUGAGGUGCGAAAGCGUGGGGAGCAAACAGG
rnacentral:rRNA from 1 species